UCAUUCUUGAGAGCUCUGAGUGGCAGGUACUGUAAACAUCCUACACUCUCAGCUGUGGAAAGUAAGGAAGCUGGGAGAAGGCUGUUUACUCUCUCUGCCUUGGAAAGCAGCUGGAGGGAAGA
rnacentral:precursor_RNA from 15 species